AUGAACGCUGGCGGCGUGCCUAAUACAUGCAAGUCGAGCGGUAAGGCUUCCACUCUGUACUUAAAAUUUUUGAGUAUGGUGUGGAAGUACACGAGCGGCGGACGGCUGAGUAACGCGUAGGAAUGUACCCCAGAGUGAGGAAUAGCCCGCCGAAAGGCGGAUUAAUACCGCAUAAUCUCUUCGGAGCAAAGCAGUAAUGCGCUUUGGGAACGGCCUGCGUAUGAUUAGCUUGUUGGUGAGGUAAAAGCUCACCAAGGCGACGAUCAUUAGCUGGUCUGAGAGGAUGAUCAGCCAGACUGGGACUGAGACACGGCCCAGACUCCUACGGGAGGCAGCAGUAGGGAAUUUUCCACAAUGGGCGAAAGCCUGAUGGAGCAACGCCGCGUGCAGGAUGAAGGCCUUCGGGUUGUAAACUGCUUUUCUGAUUGAAGAUUUUGACGGUAAAUCAGGAAUAAGGAUCGGCUAACUCCGU
rnacentral:rRNA from 1 species